rnacentral:lncRNA from 1 species
CUGUUUCCCUGUUUUGAGGUGAGUCUGUCUUCUGCAGAUGAUGUUUUCAUUCUCUCCUAGGGUACAGACACCAACGUAUUAAAUUUUUAGAGGUUCUAGGAAACAAAACCUUAAAUUUCCAUUAGGAAAGUAUCUAUUAGUGAUGGUAUUUUAGGUUUGUUAAAUCUAAAUUACUAUGUUAGUUUUGAUAAUAUGCUUAAUAUUUGUAGGGGCCUUAAAAAUAACUUGUUUUUGAAUGUUCCCUGAGGGUGGAUGAGUUAGAGGCUCCAUCACUGAGCAGGAAACACAUUAGGGGUGGUCUGUUGAAGAUGCCGCAGCUGACAGUCCCCUGCAGCAGAGAGACGGGCUUGGACCCAGGCCGGGGUCUGAAAAGGUGGCCUCCCAAGGGAGCAGAGUUCAGUAGGAAGAGUUGGCCAGGUGACAGGAGGGUAUAGAGGAGUGUGAAACAACCGGCGGAGCUGCCACAGGUGUGAGAGGAGGGGAG